UUGCUGUUGGUAGAGGGCGCUUUGAGAGUUGCUGUAAACAGGAUUGAAGAUUUGGAGCAGCACAACGCGUAUUCCGAUCAUGUAACGUGGACGGUUUGUUGCAGCUGUUGUUGUUGUAGUUGUUGUUGUUGUGGGUUUUGUUGUGGUGGUCGUGGUGGUUGUUGUGGGGGCUUUUGUGGUAGUGGUGGUUGUUGUUGUGGGUGCUGUUGUGGCUGUCGUUGUAGUUGCACCAACUGUUGUGGUAGCUGUUGUGGUAGUGGUGGGAGCUGUUGUGGUAAUGGUGAGAGCUGUUGUGGGUGCGUUUGUGGUUGUGGUGGGAGCUGUUGUGGUAGUUGCUGCAGCUGUUGUGGUAGUUGCUGGAGCUGUUGUGGCAGUUCUAGUUGCUGUUGUGGGGGCCAUUGUGGGUGCUGUUGUGGUAGUGGUGGUAGCUGUUGUGGUAAGUGCUGCAGCUGUUAUGGGGGCUGUUGUGGUAGUUGCCGCAGCUGUUGUGGUAGUUGCAGCAGCCGUUGUAGGGGUUUUUGUGGUAGUGGUGGUAGCUGUUGUGGCUGUCGUUGUAGUUGCAGCAGCUGUUGCUGCAGCUGUUGUGGUGGUUGCAGCAGCUGUUGUGGUAGUUGCUGGAGCUGUUGUGGGUGCUGUUGUGGUAGUUGUAGUUGCUGUUGUGGGGGCCAUUGUGGGUGCUGUUGUGGUAGUGGUGGUAGCUGUUGUGGUAAGUGCUGCAGCUGUUAUGGGGGCUGUUGUGGUGGUUGCAGCAGCUGUGGUUGUUGUAGUCGCUGUAGUUGCUGUUGUAGGUGCUGUUAUGGGAGCUGUGGUAGUUGCAGCAGCUGUUGUGGUAGUUUCUGGAGCUGUUGUGGUAGUGGUGGGAGCUGCUGUGGGUGCUGUUGUGGUAGUUGCUGCAGCUGUUGUGGUAGUUGCAGCAGCAGUUGUGGUGGUGGUUGCAGCAGCUGUUGUGGUGGUUGCAGCAGCUGCUGUGGUAGUUGCAGCAGCUGUUGUGGUGGUUGCUGGAGCGUUUGUGGUGGUUGCAGCAGCUGUUGUGGUAGUUGGAGUAGCUGUUGUGGUAGUUGGAGCAGCUGUUGUGGUAGUUUCUGGAGCUGUUGUGGGUGCUGUUGUGGUGGUUGCAGCAGCUGUUGUGGUAGUUUCUGGAGCUGUUGUGGUGGUUGCUGGAGCUGUUGUGGUGGUUGCAGCAGCUGUUGUGGUAGUUGGAGCAGCUGUUGUGGUGGUUGCAACAGCUGUUGUGGUAGUUG
ensembl:lncRNA